rnacentral:rRNA from 1 species
CCUCAGUAACGGCGAGUGAAGCGGUAACAGCUCAAAUUUGAAAUCUGGCCUCACGGUCCGAGUUGUAAUUUGUAGAGGAUGCUUCGAGCAUGGUCUGGCCUAAGUUCCUUGGAACAGGACGUCAUAGAGGGUGAGAAUCCCGUAUGCGGCCAGGUGCCUACGCUCAUGUGAAGCUCCUUCGACGAGUCGAGUUGUUUGGGAAUGCAGCUCAAAAUGGGUGGUAAAUUUCAUCUAAAGCUAAAUAUUGGCCAGAGACCGAUAGCGCACAAGUAGAGUGAUCGAAAGAUGAAAAGCACUUUGGAAAGAGAGUUAAACAGUACGUGAAAUUGUUGAAAGGGAAGCGCUUGCAACCAGACUUGCGCGCGGCCGAUCAUCCGGUGUUCUCACCGGUGCACUCGGCCGUGCUCAGGCCAGCAUCGGUUUUGGCGGCUGGAUAAAGGCCCUAGGAAUGUAGCUCCUCUCGGGGAGUGUUAUAGCCUAGGGUGCAAUGCAGCCUGCUGGGACCGAGGACCGCGCUUCGGCUAGGAUGCUGGCGUAAUGGUUGUAAGCGGCCCGUCUUGAAACACGGACCAAGGAGUCUAACAUCUAUGCGAGUGUUUGGGUGUCAAACCCAUACGCGUAAUGAAAGUGAACGGAGGUGAGAACCCUUAAGGGUGCAUCAUCGACCGGUCCUGAAGUUUACGGAAGGAUCUGAGUAAGAGCAUAGCUGUUGGGACCCGAAAGAUGG